UCGUUCACUUCCAGAUGAACCUAAAUGUUGAAAAAAUUUUAAGCUCUUGAUGGUUCAUAGUGAACAUAUCAAUAUUUUCUCUGAAAUUGCUAUGCACAUUAAGAUAGACGUUGAGCGUAAAAAGAUACUUAAUCAUUCCAAUGUGGCAUUUGUUGCCCAUGUGGCCAAAUCCGAGGGAAAUAAACCUAAUCGUGCUAAGUAA
rnacentral:lncRNA from 1 species